GCGGCUUGUUCCUCCUGAAUAAACUGAAGGAUGAUGAUGACGGUGGUGCUGGUGGGGCCGAAGGAGGUGGCGCUCCGCGAGAAUGACCCUACUGGUGAAAUUUUACUGAGUUGUUGUUGUUGUCGUCAUUCCUACGAUUUUCACGCAAUUCAUACCUCCUAUGGUUCAAGUGCAGUGCAAGCCGGGACGGAUCUAACCUUAAGCCUAUGGGUUCCCGUGAAUUCAAUAGUUUUGCCCAAAUUCUAUAUUUAUAUUAAGAAGUUCAUUAAAUAUUUAUUUGGCUGUAAGCCCUAUUAUUAUUGUAUAAAGAAUUCAUAAACUUUAAAUCUUGGAUUGCCCAUACACUCGUUCCUAGGGAUGUAGAUUUCAAGAAUGGGUUAAAACGAACUCAUUUAGUGACAUGGUAAUAAUAAUACCAAAAAUUGAUUAUACCAAUGAAGAUGAUUAUGAGAAUCCAAAAUGAUUAAUAGGAAGAUCAAAUUUGGUAGUAUCAGCAUGGGCAAGAAUUCUUGCUUCAUGGAGAUGAGAUGAACAGAAUAUAUCUUGUCUGAGGAAGCAGACGUGAUAUACGAGGGAAGUCAAAAAGUAUGGAGGAGCUAAGUUAGUCCACUUUGAAACAUCGUGGCCGAAGAUUCAAAAAGAAGUUGGACCGGCCGAAUAUGAUCUCAUGGGCUGGCCAGGGUAAUAUUCUGAAUUCUGAUCCACAAUAAGACCUAGCAAAUGGACUUCUUAGUCUCCAGUACGGAUUUGUUCACUGGCUUCUUUACUCUUAUCUCAAAUUAUUUUCGAUUUUUCUAUUGGUGCUAUUCUCGCCCUUGGGACGGAAUAUUAAAGAAAAUACUUAUUCCACAUAGUGUUUGCACCAAAUAAAGCAAGAUUAAACCUUAGAAACUAUAAACUAAAUUGAGAAUACAUAUAAAUGUAUGUAUAAAAGAUGAACGACUUGCAUCUAUUGGUUUUGUUAAAAUACUUAGGGAUAGUUUGGUUGGAUGCAUUAGAUAAAAUAAUGCAUGCAUUAGCUUUGUGUAUUAAUAAUACCUUGUUCGAUACACUUUUUGAACAUAUGCAUUAGUUAUGCAAGCAUUAGUUAUAUACCAUAUUUGGUAUUAUCCUAAGCAUAACUAAUGCAUAGAAAACCAUGGUAUUAGCUAUGCAAUGGGUUUUAAUGCGUGCAUUAGCUUAGUU